rnacentral:rRNA from 1 species
GACCUCAAAUCAGGUAGGAGUACCCGCUGAACUUAAGCAUAUCAAUAAGCGGAGGAAAAGAAAAUAACAAUGAUUCCCCCAGUAACUGCGAGUGAAGAGGGACAAGCUCAAAUUUUAAAUCUGUUGGGUUUACCUAACCGAGUUGUAAUUUGAAGAGGCGUUAUCUGUGUUUUUGAUCAGCCCAAGUCCUUUGGGAUAAGGCAUCAUGGAGGGUGAGAAUCCCGUCCGGUUGAUCAGAUUCGCUUACGAUACGUCAUCUAAGAGUCAAGUUGUUUGGGAUUGCAGCUUAAAAUGGGAGGUAAAUUUCUCCUAAGGCUAAAUAACGGCGAGAGACCGAUAGCGAACAAGUACCGUGAGGGAAAGAUGAAAAGAACUUUGAAAAGAGAGUUAAACAGUACGUGAAAUUGUUGAAAGGGAAACGAUUGAAGCCAGUCAUACCGGCGGGUAAUCAGCCUUUCGGGUGCGAUUCUGUGGAGUGUGAGGAGUUAAACGCCUUCAUGCCUGCAUAUUCGUGCACCUUGGGUGUACUUGCCCGUGUGGUAAGUUAACAUCAAUUUUGAUCGUCAUAAAAUGGCUGGUGGAAUGUAGCUUCGGUCUCGUACUGAAGUGUUAUAGCCUCCGGUAGAUGUGAUGAUCGGGAUUGAGGAUUGCAACGGAUACCCUUCGGGGCUACCCGCCUGAUCUCUGAAAGUUGCUCUGGUGUCGAAAGCGUGCUUACGGUCAUCAAAGUUGACGUUCAAUAGGUUAGAACGGGUUAAAUUCGUUAAGGAUGUUGACGUAAUGGCUUUAAACGACCCGUCUUGAAACACGGACCAAGGAGUCUAACAUAUAUGCGAGUGUUUGGGUGAAUAAACCCUUACGCGUAAUGAAAGUAAUUUUGGUGGGAACAUUUUUGUACACCAUCGACCGAUCAGGAUAUUUUUUGAUAGAUUUGAGUAAGAGC